CUGAGUGAGAAAAGCCAAGGUGCACCCGUCCUUCCGGGCUCCAGGUUGGAGGGAGACGUGAGCCUCCUGCCCUCACGAAUUUUAGCUUGUUUCUGUGUCUAUAUUUUCACAUCUUCAUCACCCCGGACAGGUUCGAGCGUGGAGGUUGGUUCCUACGCAGAGACCCAGUGGCCGGUGACAUCAGGAGCCGAGAACCAGGUCAGAGUCCAAGGCCCGGGAGCUGAGGCAGCCUCCAGGGAGCAGCACACCAUGGGCAGCGCAGGGCUUCUUCGAGGUCCUGGAGGACAACAGGGAGCCCUGCUCUACACCGAGCACCACGGUCUUCCCCAGCCCUCCCUACCGCAGGGCCUACCACUGUCCUGAGACCUGGGGCGGCCCCUAGACGACUGCAGUUGCAUCACCAGAAUC